rnacentral:lncRNA from 1 species
UUGGGUAUGUGAUGUCGAAGUUGAACAACCGUUGAUGUUGAAUAAACCAUAGCUCUCUUUCAAGUUGGCAGUAUUUAAAUCUAAAUGUUGAAGUGGGGUUCUACUCAUUUCCAUCUGUGUUUCAUUUUGUUGUUGGGACUGCACCGCUGAACGUGAUUAUUUUGUUCUUGAAUAAUUUAAACCCUUAUCCUUCAAAACCGAUAUUCUUUUAUUUCUUGCUAUUGAAGAAUGGAUGUUUGGAUUAUAUGUAUCCAUUUGAUAUCAAACGAAAUAGAUAUGCAUUCACAAAAUCAAGUCCUGUUUUAUGCACAAUGUAUAAAUCCAAGUGUAAGAUUAGUGCAUAACUUAAAUAAUUAAACAAUAAUAAUCAAACAAACAUUUUAUGGCUGUUGCAGGUGGAUUACAUUCUCUAUAUUAUUUAGUGCUAACUUUGAUUUCACUUUUUUUAGUUCACUUUAGCAAUUGAUGGUGUAUUUGAUGGUAUAUUUAUGAGUACAGAAAUGUUAACUUCCUAUUUAAAAGAUUACCUAGCCAUAAAAUUUGAAAUUCUUACUAUUGAAAAAGGCAUUUUAUUUAUUGCUGCAGAUUUGGAUCUGCUUUCAAAAACUAAUGUUACUUAGUAAUUAAAUUAUAUAAAGUAAUCGUUAAAAAUAAUACUUUUUUGUAUCCAUAUAACAGUCCAUACAAUUGUAACUCGUACAUAUUCAAUUCAUUUAAUAAAUGUCCGCAUAACAAUAUCUAACAUUUACAGAAUAAUUUUAAGGUUGGCACAAAAUCAAUUUUAAAGUUUGUACAAAAUGAACAAAGUAGAUAGAGGAGAAGAUCAUAGAAGGAUAUUCCAUAAGAUGUAUGCUUUGAUAAUCUCACCGAUGAAUAGUUCAUAGAAUAAAUAAUAUUCAUAAUGAAUCAAAAAUUAUAAAGUAUUCUUAAUAAUGUAACCAAUCUCUAACUGAAUACAAAAAUAAUUUUAACAAUAAAUUUGUAUACAUCAAACUGAACUCCAAAAUACCAAAACCAUACACACAAUUCUAGAAUCUACAAAAUAUUCAUGAAACAACAAAUUAGAAUUAUAUAGGUUUUUAACAAAUGAAAUUAAACAUGUCAAAUGAGGAAAGUUAAAUAUUGAAGAACAAAACAAAAAGUAACAAAAUGAUAUUUUAAACAUCAAAUUUUUAAUGACCAAGGAAUAUCAAAUUUUUAAUGACCCUAGAAUAUCAAGAAUAUUAUAUUAUAUUUCAUGUACAUGAUUCUCAUGGAUAAACAUUAAACAAAUAAUGGAGAAUAUCACUAAUAUAUAAAAUAUUAUAUUAUAUAUUACUAAUAUUCUGUAACAACAUAUUAUAGUAUAAACAUAGAAAACAACUUCAAGAAUAUGCAUCAAGAAUAUCAUUAAGAAGUAUGUAAGUAGUUAUAGUAUAAAGAACUUCAAGAAUAUAGUAUGUAAUUAGUUAUAAUAUGCAUCAAGAACUUCAAAAUACAAAUGCAUGUAAAAGUAACAAUCGGAUCUGAAAAAGUAGACCGUGACAAAGUAUAUUGGAUCUGGAAAAAUCAUAAAGAUGAAAUUUUUAAUACAAAAAAUAUGAAAGAGACAUAAAAAAGCCAAAAAUGAUAAAUGUAUGUAACAAACAUGUACUCAAAAUCACAUUCAAAACACAAAUGCAGGUAAAAGUAACAUGACCAAGGAAUAUCAAAUUUUUAAUGACCCUAGAAUAUCAAGAAUAUUAUAUUAUAUUUCAUGUACAUGAUUCUCAUGGAUAAACAUUAAACAAAUAAUGGAGAAUAUCACUAAUAUAUAAAAUAUUAUAUUAUAUAUUACUAAUAUUCUGUAACAACAUAUUAUAGUAUAAACAUAGAAAACAACUUCAAGAAUAUGCAUCAAGAAUAUCAUUAAGAAGUAUGUAAGUAGUUAUAGUAUAAAGAACUUCAAGAAUAUAGUAUGUAAUUAGUUAUAAUAUGCAUCAAGAACUUCAAAAUACAAAUGCAUGUAAAAGUAACAAUCGGAUCUGAAAAAGUAGACCGUGACAAAGUAUAUUGGAUCUGGAAAAAUCAUAAAGAUGAAAUUUUUAAUACAAAAAAUAUGAAAGAGACAUAAAAAAGCCAAAAAUGAUAAAUGUAUGUAACAAACAUGUACUCAAAAUCACAUUCAAAACACAAAUGCAGGUAAAAGUAACAACCGGAUCUGAAAAAGUAGACCGUGUCAAAGUCAGUCGGAUCUAGAAAAAUAAUAAAGAUGAAAUUUUUAACACAAAAUAUGAAAGAGACAUCCACAAAAGCCAAAGGGGAUAAAUGUGAAAGUAAACCGGAUCUAAAAAAGUAAAUCGUGUCAUAGUAGUUCGGAUCUGGAAAAUAUGUUUCUAACAGAAGAAGAGAGAAACAAAUAUGAAACGAAGAAUACAAAGGAAGAAGAAUACAAAAGAAGUUCCGAUCUGACAUUUACCUUAGCUGUUGGGUUUGAAAUAUAUGAUGUCUAAGGAAGAAGAAGAAACAUGUUUGUAAU